rnacentral:rRNA from 1 species
UUCCGGUUGAUCCUGCCGGAGGCCACUGCUAUUGGGAUCCGACUAAGCCAUGCGAGUCGAGAGGGUUCGGCCCUCGGCAGACUGCUCAGUAACACGUGGAUAACCUAACCUUAGGUGGAAGAUAACCUCGGGAAACUGAGAAUAAUAUUCCAUAGAUCUAGGAUGCUGGAAUGCAUCUAGAUUGAAAGUUCCGACGCCUAAGGAUGGGUCUGCGGACUAUCAGGUUGUAGUCAGGGUAAAGACCUGACUAGCCUACAACGGAUAUGGGUUGUGAGAGCAAUAGCCCAGAGACGAUAUCUGAGACACGAUAUCGGGCCCUACGGGGCGCAGCAGGCGCGAAAUCUUCACAAUGUGCGAAAGCACGAUGAGGGGAUCCCAAGUGCUGGCACGUAAGUGUCAGCUGUUUCUUAGUCUAAAAAACUGAGAGAGUAAGGGCUGGGUAAGACGGGUGCCAGCCGCCGCGGUAAUACCUGCAGCUCAAGUGGUGGCCGCUAUUAUUGGGCCUAAAACGUCCGUAGCCUGUUUAGUAAAUGCUUGGGUAAAUUGUGUAGCUUAACUAUACGAAUACCGGGUAGACUGCUAAACUUGGGACCGGGAGAGGCUAGAGGUACUCCUGGGGUAGAGGUGAAAUUCUGUAAUCCUAGGGGGACCACCAGUGGCGAAGGCGUCUAGCUAGAACGGGUCUGACGGUGAGGGACGAAGCCCUGGGGCGCAAACCGGAUUAGAUACCCGGGUAGUCCAGGGUGUAAACGCUGCUUGCUUGAUGUUAGUUGGGCUCCGAGCCCAACUAGUGUCGGAGAGAAGUUGUUAAGCAAGCUGCCUGGGAAGUACGGUCGCAAGACUGAAACUUAAAGGAAUUGGCGGGGGAGCACAGCAACGGGUGGAGCGUGCGGUUUAAUUGGAUUCAACGCCGGAAAUCACUAGUGCGGCCGCCUGCAGGUCGACCAUAU